rnacentral:lncRNA from 10 species
CAUUAACUAAAUAUGGAUAAUAAGUAUUAGGUCAAACCCUAUAGAAUAUAGAUAUUUGACUAUUUUACCUACAAAAUGGUAAUAUAACAUGAUUUAGCAUAUUUUUUCUUUGCUUUUUUUUCAACAAUCUCUGUCUGGGUGCUCAUCGUUCCUGACACAACUCGACAUUUUCUGGGCAGCCCCCGUGAGACAGGUUGUGGUGCAGGCAGGAGAAGGGUGGCUGUGCUGAUUCACUCUGCCUCUCCAGUUCUGACCAAUCUUCUAUUUCAACUCUGGGAUUCUUUCUUUAAUCUUCAUCUUCUGAAUGAUGUAGCUUUACUGUGAAACUGUCCAAGUGUAAUUAUCAGGCCUGUCAUUGGUAAGGAACCCUUCCCAAGGCUCUGGGAGAGGCCCCAGACAUGUAUUGACAUGUUAAUAUUUGAUUUUUAAAACUUUCACAAAGAAGACAUUUUAAACUUCAGUCAAUUAAGGCCACGAUGUCUUUGCACUCCAACUUCUCUUCCUUCUCCUCCUCUUGGGCUGUAUUGGAGCCGCCGUGGACAAUUUUGAGAUGACCCAAGGAGAAGAUGAGAUGGGCGUAUGUUUGCUGCAAGUGGAGUGGAAUACACUUCUGUGAUUUGCAGUCCCUUCCAUGUAUAAUGGAGUAUUGCUGGCUGUGCAAGUGGAGAAACAACUGGGAAUGCCAACUUGAGGAGCGUCUGGUGGACACCAUCUUGAAUCCAGCACUCUCUCCAUCCCCAGCCAGAAGUGUGUGUUGGUGGUGGGGGAGAGACAAGUUAGAAACAAGGGUGGACUACACGUUCCACCUCAUGCCUGUACCACAAG